rnacentral:rRNA from 1 species
AGUGAACGCUGGCGGUAGGCCUAACACAUGCAAGUCGAACGGCAGCACAGUAAGAGCUUGCUCUUACGGGUGGCGAGUGGCGGACGGGUGAGGAAUACAUCGGAAUCUACUUUUUCGUGGGGGAUAACGUAGGGAAACUUACGCUAAUACCGCAUACGACCUACGGGUGAAAGCAGGGGAUCUUCGGACCCUGCGCGAUUGAAUGAGCCGAUGUCGGAUUAGCUAGUUGGCGGGGUAAAGGCCCACCAAGGCGACGAUCCGUAGCUGGUCUGAGAGGAUGAUCAGCCACACUGGAACUGAGACACGGUCCAGACUCCUACGGGAGGCAGCAGUGGGGAAUAUUGGACAAUGGGCGCAAGCCUGAUCCAGCCAGACCGCGUGGGUGAAGAAGGCCUUCGGGUUGUAAAGCCCUUUUGUUGGGAAAGAAAAGCAGCAGGUUAAUACCCCGCUGUUCUGACGGUACCCAAAGAAUAAGCACCGGCUAACUUCGUG